AGGCAACCCCUUUGCGAUGACAAUGGCAAAGGAGGUGUUUAGCUGCUCGUAAAGUAAGUUCUUUUGCUCUUCAGACUUGCUGAGAUGACUCUUUGAAGCUGGUCUAGUAAGCAUUAGUACAUU